GAUGAACGCUGGCGGCGUGCCUAAUACAUGCAAGUCGAGCGAACAGACGAGGAGCUUGCUCCUCUGACGUUAGCGGCGGACGGGUGAGUAACACGUGGAUAACCUACCUAUAAGACUGGGAUAACUUCGGGAAACCGGAGCUAAUACCGGAUAAUAUAUUGAACCGCAUGGUUUAAUAGUGAAAGACGGUUUUGCUGUCACUUAUAGAUGGAUCCGCGCCGCAUUAGCUAGUUGGUAAGGUAACGGCUUACCAAGGCAACGAUGCGUAGCCGACCUGAGAGGGUGAUCGGCCACACUGGAACUGAGACACGGUCCAGACUCCUACGGGAGGCAGCAGUAGGGAAUCUUCCGCAAUGGGCGAAAGCCUGACGGAGCAACGCCGCGUGAGUGAAGAAGGUCUUCGGAUCGUAAAACUCUGUUAUUAGGGAAGAACAAAUGUGUAAGUAACUAUGCACGUCUUGACGGUACCUAAUCAGAAAGCCACGGCUAACUACGUG
rnacentral:rRNA from 1 species